GAUGAACGCUGGCGGCGUGCCUAAUACAUGCAAGUCGAGCGAACAGACGAGGAGCUUGCUCCUCUGACGUUAGCGGCGGACGGGUGAGUAACACGUGGAUAACCUACCUAUAAGACUGGGAUAACUUCGGGAAACCGGAGCUAAUACCGGAUAAUAUAUUGAACCGCAUGGUUCAAUAGUGAAAGACGGUUUUGCUGUCACUUAUAGAUGGAUCCGAGCCGCAUUAGCUAGUUGGGAAGGUAACGGCUUUGCAAGGCGACGAUGCGUAGCCGACCUGUGAGGGUGAUCGGCCACACUGGAACUGAGACACGGUCCAGACUCCUACGGGAGGCAGCAGUAUGGAAUCUUCCGCAAUGGGCGAAAGCCUGACGGAGCAACGCCGCGUGUGUGAUGAAGGUCUUCGGAUCGUAAAACUCUGUUAUUAGGGAAGAACAAAUGUGUAAGUAACUAUGCACGUCUUGACGGUACCUAAUCAGAAAGCCACGGCUAACUACGUG
rnacentral:rRNA from 1 species